rnacentral:rRNA from 1 species
UCAGGAAAACAGACGUAGGUGGGUUUGUAAGUCAGAUGUGAAAGCCUUCUGUUCAAAGGAAGAACGGCAUCUGAAACUGCAGAUCUUGAGUGUAGGAGGGGAGAGUGGAACUUCUGGUGGAGCGGUGAAAUGCGUAGAUAUCAGAAGGAACGUCGGCGGCGAAAGCGACUCUCUGGCCUAUUACUGACACUGAGUGUGCGAAAGUUAGGGGAGCAAACGGGAUUAGAUAGCCCGGUAGUCCUAGCCGUAAACGAUGGGCACUAAGUAGAGGGGUUCUAA